CCCUUAGAUGUUCUGGGCCGCACGCGCGCUACACUGACGGGGACAACGAGUUUGCAACCUGCGCCGGUAGGUGUGGGUAAUCUUUUGAGCCCUCGUCGUGCUGGGGCUAGAUCUUUGUAAUUUUCGAUCUCAAACGAGGAAUUCCUAGUAAGCGUGAUUCAUCAGAUCGCGUUGAUUACGUCCCUGCCCUUUGUACACACCGCCCGUCGCUACUACCGAUUGAAUGGUCCGGUGAAUCUUUAGGACUGUGGCUGAGGCCUUGCCUUGUGCGGGUCUGGCCGUGGGAAUUUAGUUAAACCUUACCAUUUAGAGGAAGGUGAAGUCGUAACA
rnacentral:rRNA from 1 species